rnacentral:rRNA from 1 species
GACGAACGCUGGCGGCGUGCUUAACACAUGCAAGUCGAACGAUGAUGCUCCAGCUUGCUGGGGUGGAUUAGUGGCGAACGGGUGAGUAACACGUGAGUAACCUGCCCCCUUCUUCGGGAUAAGCUUGGGAAACUGGGUCUAAUACUGGAUAUUCUGCAAUUGUCGCAUGGUGGUUGUGGGAAAGAUUUUUUGGUGGGGGAUGGGCUCGCGGCCUAUCAGCUUGUUGGUGGGGUGAUGGCCUACCAAGGCGUCGACGGGUAGCCGGCCUGAGAGGGUGACCGGCCACACUGGGACUGAGAUACGGCCCAGAGUCCUACGGGAGGCAGCAGUGGGGAAUAUUGCACAAUGGGCGCAAGCUUGAUGCAGCGACGCCGCGUGAGGGAUGACGGCUUUCGGGUUGUAAACCUCUUUCGAUGGGGAACAAGGCCAUAUUUUUGUGUGGUUGAGGGUACCUGUAUAAGAAGCGCCGGCUAACUACGUG